rnacentral:rRNA from 1 species
CUCAAAACAGCUAUUUGAGCCAACCCGUCUCUGUCGCAAAAGAGUGGGAUGAUUUUUAGGUAGAGGUGAAAAGCCUAUCGAACUUAGAGAUAGCUGGUUAUUCAAGAAAAGAAUUUUAGUUCAACCCUAAGUCAACUCCUUCCUCAUCUAAAAAACCCAAUAGACUUAGGAGCUACUCAAAUAAGGCACAGCUUAUUUGAUAAAGGACUCAACCUACAAAAAAGGGUAAACUUCUAAAAAUUUAAGAAAGUUGGCCUAAAAGCAGCCACCUUCAAAAAAAGCGUUAAAGCUUUCUUUAUACAGAGAUCAAAUACCUUACCACACACUAAACCCUUUAACCCUAUUGAAUGAUUCUAUAAAAUAUAGAAACCCCAAUGCUAAAACUAGUAACAAGAAGUUGAACUUCUCCAAAAUACAAGUAUAAACCAGAAUGGACAAGCCACUGAUAACUAACACCACUGAAUCAAGUAUAGCAACUAAACGAGAAAACUCUAUAAACCCUAAUGUUAACCUCACACAAGUGUAUUUUUGGAAAGAUUAAAAAAAAGAGAAGGAACUCGGCAAAUGUUAACCCCGCCUGUUUACCAAAAACAUCGCCUCCUGAUUUUUAUAAGAGGUCCAACCUGCCCAGUGACACAAUUAAACGGCCGCAGUACCCUGACCGCGCGAAGGUAGCAUAAUCAUUUGUUCUCUAAAUAAGGACUUGUAUCAACGGUGCCACGAGGGUUAAACUGUCUCCCCUUUUUAAUCAGUGAAACUGACCUUCCCGUGAAGAGGCGGGAAUAACAAUACAAGACGAGAAGACCCCAUGGAGCUUAAAACUCAAUAACAUCCUCCAUUUCAAACAACCUCUAAGUAGAGAAGACCUGUCUAUUGGUUUUAGGUUGGGGAGACCCUGGAGUAAAACUAAACCUCCAGAACGAACAGAUUUUAUCCUAAUCCCAGAGCCACUGCUCUAAGAAUCAAAAUUUUGACAUAACCUGACCCGCUAAGCGAUCAACGAACCAAGUUACCCUGGGGAUAACAGCGCAAUCCAUUUCAAGAGCUCCUAUCGACAAAUGGGUUUACGACCUCGAUGUUGGAUCAGGGUAUCCCAGUGGUGCAGCCGCUACUAAAGGUUUGUUUGUUCAACAAUUAAAACCCU